GGGCGCCUCCCUGAGGGGCCGGGCGCCGGGCCCCGGAGUGGUCCCCGAGCGGCUGCGGGCGGGUCCCGACUGGGGCCCGCCGCUGGCUCGGAGACCGGCUUGGGCCCCGCGCGUCACCUCGCUGGCCCCGAGGCAGUUCCUGCGGGCGGUCGCGGCUGAGGGGCUGCGGCCUCGGCCGCCGCCUCCACGGCCCUCCGAGGCGCGGGCCUUACCUGGGGACGCGUGGGGCCGCCCGGGCUCCUUCUAGAGACCGACCCUCGCGUCCGGACGCGGUCCCCGGAGGCGGCUGGCCCCGGUGCCGCCCUCGCGUCCCGCCGAGCGCCCGCUGCGGCGGCCCGGGGAGGAUCGCGGGCCCGCCUCGUGGCCAAGAAGCGCGAGUGACCUGCAGGCCCGAGGCGGGAGGUGGGGUAAUCCUGCCCGGGGGUCCGCUGUGCGCUCGGGGUCGUGCCCCCCGCACACGCAGUCGGGCGCAAUUUAGGGAAAUGAUAAGGGGGUCCGAAGUGCGUUGCGCUUGAGAUUUCAUUUCCGGGUGUAAUGGCCCGGCGAUUAAGUGCGAACCGCAACGUUGCCAUCAGUAAUGAACGUGAGCAGUUGUCAGGCUGCGUCCUUGAUUGUGGGAGCUGAUAAGAGUUUCAUUCUAAUCGUGCUUCUGUUACCUGCAUGUCUCCUGGUAGGAAGAGAAGGGGCAGAAGGAUGUUGGAGAGAAAGUGGAGGGGACAGGGCAUGGUUGGUGGUUAGAGAACUAUUAGUCCUUUAAAUGGCCAUAUCAUUGUUUGGAUGGGUGAGAAGUUUAUAAUUUGGGGAAAUGAGAGAUGCUUGAUGCUGCGACUUGAGUUUAGCGCCGGGUAUCAGUAUCAUUCCCACCCAGCCAGUUUCCCUCUGGAGGUUUGAUUUCUCACCUUGAAAAGAAAGAAUUAGGAGUGUGAGAUCUUUUAGUUUUUAAAUUGUAGGACUUUGUAAAUAUGUCGUCUGGUAGUUAAGAUUGCUGUUUACUAACUAUUCCUGUCCUCCUUGUGUUGUAAAUUAAUGCAUAAAUUUCAUUGGGGUUGUUUUUUUUUUUUUUUUUUUUUUUUUGAGGAAGAUUAGCCCUGAGCUAACAUCUGCUGCCAGUCCUCCUCUUUUUGCUGAGGAAGACUGGCCCUGAGCUCACAUCCGUGCCCAUCUUCCUCUACUUUAUAUGUGGGACGCCUACCACAGCAUGGCUUGCCAAGCGGUGUCAUGUCCACACCCGGGAUGUGAACCGGCGAACCCCGGGCCACCGAAGCGGAACGUGCGCACUUAACCGCUGGGCCACCGGGCCGGCCCCGGGGUUGAUUUUUUUUAAGUUGGGUUACAGACCUCACUGUGCUUCUGUGUUACAAACAUUCCUUGAGUUUAUGCAGGACCUUGGAGCUAAACCUUAGAGCACUUCCACAUAUGUUAUUUUUUGUCAAGAGCUGUCUUUGAAAAACUGAGGUGCAGUGUUAAAGAUGCUAAAUUAUUUGCCUAGACUCGGAGCCAAUCUAAGGUAGAUUUAAAACUAAAUUAAUGUUUUGUGUUAAAUUAAUAACUUUUCUGAAGUUUGUGAAAUUGUUGGACUUUGGCCUCUAGAACCAUACAAUGGAAUCAGUCAACAGGAGGGCCUUCCACAUUUGAAAGUAUCUAUCAAAGGAAAAUAAGAAGGCCCAAGCAAGUAAUUCAGACUUUCAGCCUCACCACAAUAAAGUACAGUGAUAGAAAUGGAUGGAGGUAAAAGAUGAUCAAGAUAUCUUGGAGCUCACAGCUUUCCUGCAAUGUGGCUGGUGAAAAUGUGACAUUGAUUUGUUCUGUUUGUUUCUCUGGAAUUAGUAGAAAAAUAGCUAUGACUUAGUUGAAGAAUGAAAACUUGAAAACAUAUGCCCUGCUUUUCUUUCUGACUACUUUGAAUUAGGGAACAAACAAAUCACUUUUUUUUAAUCAUCUAAUCCUUUAUGUCAUAGAAUUAUUUUAUGUUGAAUUGAUAAUUCCUUGACUUUUAGUCCAUUCCCUUGAUUUCCAUUUGUAGACUCCAACUCUUUCACACAGCCUUAAAGCUUCUGCUUUUUAUCUUUUCUGAAUUUCUAAGUGAAAUUCAGAAAUUGCAUUUCUAAGUGAAAUUUUCUGUGUUUCCUUUACUUGCAGGGCAGACUUCAGCUUCCUACACUUUGUGCGACGAUCAUUUCAAUGGUGUAAACCCUGAAGCCAGAUCCUUCGGCUCUUGAAUUGAGAACUUUUUAAAAUAGCAGGCACAGUGGUUGUCUCUUGGUCAUUGCUACAAUCUCAUAAUAGAAGCAGGAAGCUGCUGUUUGUAUUCUGUGGCCACAGUUGCAAACAAUAAAAAGGAGACAGUCUUCUGAAGCUGUUGUCAGGUCUCUCUGGGACUAAGUGCCAGGUGGUUUUAUAGAUUGGAGUGGGAAGCACAGUUCCAAUGAGAUACUACAGUUUGUUGUAAUAGUGAUGAUGUAGUUUUCUGUCUGCACCUAACAGUGCGUAGCACAUAAUAGAUGUACAGGAAAUAUUUGGUGGUUGAAUGAAUGAAUGGAAAACAGUAUGAGGGAAGGGGAAAUAGGCUAGCACAUAUACUAAAUUGUUUAAUUCUUUUUGUUAAAAAAAAAAAAGCCAAGAAAAUGUGUUUCAGAUUCCUGUUGAAAAUAUGCUGUUGAGAUGGGUAUCUGUAAAGGGUGUUACUUGCUGGAGCUGCCUUGAGAUUUGAUUCUGUGAUUAUAUGGUGUUCUAGCCACCUGCAGCCUCGGAGCAGCCUCUGGUGCUCUGGUCGGGUGCAGCUUCACACUCUUGCUCUUGCAGCCUUCUCUGGCUAGGCUAACUGAGCACUUGGAUUGGUAGUCAGAUUUUUGCAUAAAUAGAAAAACUAGAUCUCUUGGUAAUGGCCACACUGGUAUCAUUGACCCUGACUGUCCAUCUUCUCAUCCCUUAUAUUGCGAGAGGGAGAAGGGAGUUAUCCCUCCUUGAAGGGCUUCUCCAGCAGCUCCACUUUUCACAUGCAUGUGUUUCUCUCUCCCUCUUUUCCUUCCUUAGGCUCCCUCUGUAACUCCCAAGGACUAAUGAAUUUGUUAGCGCAGACCUGGGAUACAGAAGACCUUACUUUGCAACUGAAACCAGCUUCUGACCAACUUAUACUGUUGCAUGACCGUUAGAGGCAUCUAGGAGAGAAUAUAAUGCAAAGAUCCCACUUGUGAUUUUGUCUUUCUUAUCCAAAAGCAAAAGAGGAAAGGUGUAGCUCUAGACCUGGUGAGUCUUGGUGCAUCUCUCAUCCCAGUAUGGGAGAAGAAGGGAGGCUGAUGCAGAAAAGAGAUAUGGAGCUUUGGUAUUUGUUUGGAGGCCUGUACUUUUGGCAAGGUAACAAGCCUGUGGAGGGAAGGGUCUUAAUUUGGGUACAUUAUCAAAGCAGGUCAAGGAGUAGGCAAUUAUCAGUGUGUAACAGAACUAAGUACAGGGUGAGGCAGUGAGGUCUAUCAUUCCGUGCUCUCAAAUGCUGACUUUCUGCUGUAGGAAUGUAGCAGUGUCUCAUUUAUCUGCUAUUGUUAGAGAAUAAGGUAUUAUGAGCGAAAAUUCUUAUUUUAGGUAUACUUUUUGUAGAAAAGUUUCUACAUUGUAUUAUGUGCUUUGUUUGCUUUUUAAGCAGUAUAGUUUAACCUUUCUUUAUUGACUCAAGGUUAUGGUUACUAGCAUCCAUUACUGACAGUAAUUGAGCAGGGCUUUGAGGUCAUUGAAACAUGUAGGUUGUUUGCCCCCUCUGCUCUUUGAAUUCUUGAAUCUGCUUUUAAUAGUCAAUCUACCUCUUCCUUCAGAGGUGGGAAAGCUGUACUUUGGCUGUUGUUAGUGUCCCUGCUGUCCUCUUUUGAAUGUGCAGCUUCUGAUCUUCUGUGGAAUAGCAGCCCAGAUAACUGCUUCCUGAAAUUGGAUGUAAAACAGCUACAAAGGCUUUGCCAGGGUCUGCCUGCUCUUCUCUGUUAGUGGAUGAACUUUCUAAGCACUAUUUUGGCUGCCCAGAGACCUUUUGUUCAUUUCUUGUUUCUGAUCCUUGGUUUAGAUAAUGAACUUGCACUCUGUAUAGGUGCGUUUGUGUUCCUGUGGUUCUUUCUGUUGAAAAAAGAAAAUCAUAUGGAAGUAUUAGUGUUGGUUCUUGUUUCAGAAAGCAUUGCCAAUAAUACUUGAAGAUCUGGUUCCGGCCCUGUCUUGUAUCAUUCUUGGGCAGUGUCUUGGACCAUCUCCAAUCUUCCUCUUAGCAUUUCCAGAUUGUCUUUACUCCUAAUCCCAACCAGUGCCAGGAACCAGGUUGGCAGUAGGAAUUGCCUUGAGAGGUGGAAGCGGGGUAUACAGAAGGCAGCAAUUUAAAAUUGAGUAUAUAAAAUUGGUAUACAUAAUUGAUAUUUCUGCAUUUUUUACUGUAUAACUGAAUUCAUUACAGGACUUAGUUUCCCUGUGUCUAUAAAAAGAGCCCUUCUUUAUACCAAAGAGCUGAAGAAAUUCUUAUGACUAAAAGAGGUCUCUCUCCCUUGCUGUGCACUCCUUUCAUUCAACAGGCAUAUAUCGAGUACCUCCCAUGUGCCCUGCACUGUGCUAGUUUACUUGGAAGUACAGAGAGAAGCAUAUCCCCUGUCCUGAGGAACUCAGUGUAGUAGAGGAGCCAGACAUGCCAAAGAAUAGAUGUGUGUAUGUAUUUAUAUUCAUGUUAUAACAAAAGGAUCAUGCCUGAAGCUACUCAACCAUAAUUCAGCAUAGACCUGCUUGGGGUUCUACUAUUUCUAAAGUGAUCCGUGGCCUGUCACCAUGACACACCCCAGAAGAUAAGGUUAAAAAUGUGAGGUGUUAUUGUUGGAUAAAGCUUAUAUACUUUUCCAAGAACUGUAGUGAACUGAACAGUAAAGAUGAAAAUCUGAAGGAAAAUGUUGUAUUAUUUGAAAUUCCGUAUUUACACUCUAUAUAGGAAUUACAUUCUGUAAUACAGCCUUAAAUGGUGGUUACAUACUGACAAUUGAGCAGUGAAACACCUAGAACCUAGGAAAGUUCAUUAUACCUGGCCCAUUUGAAACAGAAUGCAAAUUCUUAAGCAUUUUCACAGAAUUUCUAGAUAGCGAAUACUGCUUGUGUUGGUUUUUUAGAACAAAUCUCACCAGCAAUAUGAGCUGAAGACUUUUGCUUUUCAUUUUUUGAGGAAGAGGGUUAGAGCGUUGCCCUAAAUCAAGGUUUAAAUGGGACAGGUUGUAGGAACUGAAGUUUUUUCAGACACUCUUAUUGUCUGUUUUAUUUUUACUCUCACGCCCAGGAAAAAGGCUACCUUAAUGCUUCGUUAAUGCUUAGUGAUCAUUUUAGUUAGCUUCUAUCACAGGGAACUGUUAGAGGGCUUCACGUAAGGGAUUCUGGGUUUACAGAUUUGAUUAAAUGUUUAAGUGGAAAUGAAAAUAGGAAAAUCUAACACUUAGACCACUUUGGACUCAAUGGGAAUUAGAUUUUCUGUACCUGUAACUUAAGAUACUCUUAAGGCUUAUCUUAAAAGCGUUAGGACAUGCAAAGCUGUCAUCUUUAAAACACAGAGCUGGGGCUGGCCCCGUGGCCGAGUGGUUAAGUUCUCACACUCCGCUGCAGGUGGCCCAGUGUUUCGUUGGUUCGAAUCCUGGGCACGGACAUGGCACUGCUCAUCAAACCACGCUGAGGCAGUGUCCCACAUGCCACAACUAGAAGGACCCACAACGAAGAAUAUACAACUAUGUACUGGGGGGCUUUGGGGAGAAAAAGGAAAAAAAUGAAAUCUUUAAAAAAAAUUAAAAAGAUAAAACAGCUAGGGACCAGUCUGCUUCUCGGCGGCCUGGGGUUCACCGGUGCGGGCAUGGCACCGCUUGGCAAAAGCCAUGCUGUGGCAGGCGUCCCACAUAUAAAGUAGAGGAAGAUGGGCGUGGAUGUUAGCUCAGGGCCAGUCUUCCUCAGCAAAAAGAGGAGGAUUGGCAGUAGUUAGCUCAGGGCUAAUCUUCCUCAAAAAAUAAAUAAAUAAAAAAUAAAACACAGAGCUAGUUUUCCAAACUGAAGAAUGUUGUCAAGGGCAUUCUGUCUCAGCCUUUUUUGUGAAAUAGAGUAAAUUCAUCCUUCCCAUCUGUUUCGGUUACAUUAAAUGUGGUAGAAUGAACUUUGUAGAGAAGAGAAACAGGUUGGUCAAAUUAAUGACAUAGCCUCCCAGUCUUCUGCUUCACGUGGUACCCACUCCGAAGGUACCCACUUGCUUACAGUCUUAGAUACUAUUCAAAUUUUAGAAAGGGUUCGCAUCAGAGAUAGGAGACUACUAAAACUCUUAGUAGUGCCGCACGAGUAGUCAGCCCCUGACUGUGUAACCCAGAAGGCAGCAUAACCAGUGAGGGUUAUUUUCUUUGCCAUUCCUUCUCCACUCAGGAAGUUAUCUUUGGGUUUUUGAUACGGUAAUAAUGACUAACAAGCAAUUACUAUAGGUUGUCCAAGCACUAAUUUUAGCACAGUACGUGUGGUAAUGUUACUCAUUGUUAACAGCUCUGUGAGUUAGGUAAUAGUGUUCUUAUUCCGUUUUUCGUGUGAGGAAACUGAGGCCCAGAGAGGUUAGACAUUAAAUCACUUUCCCAAGUCCCACAGGAGGUGAUAAAGCAGGCAUUCAGACCCAGACAUUCUGAAUGCAGAGCACACACUCUUAACCCCGCUGUCUCAGGAUUUUAUACAGGAUACCUUGGAGAUAUUGUGGGUUCAGUUCUAGACCACUGCAAUAAAGUGAAUAUUGCAAUAAAGUGAGUCACAGGACGUUUUUGCUUUCCCAGGGCAUAUAAAAGGUAUGUUUACACUAUUGUGUAGUCUAUUAAGUGUGGAAAAGCAUUAUAUCUAAAAAAACAAUAUACAUCCCUUAAUUAAAAAUAUAUGUUGCUAAAAAAUGCUGACCAUCAUCUGAGCCUUCAACAAGUUGUAAUCUUUUUGCUGGUGGAGGAUCUUGCCUCAGUGCUGAUGGCUGCAGACUGAUGAGGUGGUGGUUGCUGAAGGCUGGGGUGGCUGAGGCAAUUUCUUAAAGUAAGACAACAAAGAAGUUUGCCGCGUAGCUUGACUCUUCCUUUCACAGACGUCGUCUGUGUAGCAGGCAAUGCUCUGAUAGCAUUUUACCCACAGCAGAACUUCUUUCAGAAUUGGAGUCAGCCCUUUCAAACUCUGCCGUUGCUUUAUCAACUUAGUUGAUGCCAUAUGCUAAAUCCUUUGUUGUCAUUUCAAGAGUCUUCACAGCAUCUUCACCAGGAGUAGAAUCCACCUCAAGAAACCACUUCUUUGCUCGUCUGUUAGAAGCAGCUCCUCGUCCGUUCAAGUUCUGUCCUGAGAUUGCAGCGAUUCGGUCCCACCUGCAGGCUGCACUUCUAGUUCUGCUUCUCUUGCUGUUUCCACCGCGUCUGCAGUAUCCUCCAGUGAAGUCUUGAACCCUCAACAUCAUCCAUGAGGAUUGGAGUCACCUUCCAAACUCAUGUCACUAUUGAUAUUUUGACCUCUUCUCGUGAGUCACGAAUGUUCUUAAUGGCAUCUAGAAUGGUGAAUCCUUUCCAGAAGGUUUUCAGUUUACUGUGCCCAGAUACAUCAGAGGAAUCACCAUCUAUGGCAGCUGUAGCCUUACAAAAUGUAUUUUUCUUUUUUUUUUUUUAAAGAUUGGCACCUGAGCUAACAACUGUUGCCAGUCUUCUUUUUUUUUUUUCUGCUUUAUCUUCCCAAACCCCCUGUACAUAGUUGUAUAUCUUAGUUGCAGGUCCUUCUAGUUGUGGGUUGUGGGACGCCGCCUCAAUGUGGCCUGACGAGCAGUGCCAUGUCCGCACCCAGGAUCUGAACCCUGGGCCGCCACAGCGGAGUGUGCAAACUUAACCACUCAGCCACGGAGCCAGCCCCUGUAUUUCUUAAAUAAUAAUAAGACUUGGAAGUCAAAAUUACUCCUUGGUCAGUGGGCUACGGAAUGGAUGUUGUGUUAGCAGGCAUGAAAACAACAUUGAUUUCGUUGUGUGUCUCCAUCAGAGCUCUUAGGUAACCAGGUGCCUUGUCAAUAAGCAGAACUAUUUUGAAAGGAAUCUUUUUUUUCUGAGCAGUAGGUCUCAACAGUGGGCUUAGAAUAUUCAGUAAACCAUAUUGUAAAUAAAUAGAUGUGCUGUCAUCCAGGCUUUGUUGUUCCAUUUAUAGAGCACAGGUGGAGUAGACAUAGCAUAAUUCUUAAGGACCCUAGAAUUUUCACAAUGGUAAAUGGACAUUGGCUUCAAUUUAAAGUCACCUGCUGCCUUAGCCCCUAACAAGAAAGUUGGCCUCUGCUUUGAAGCUUUAAGCAGGCAUUGACUUCUCUAGCUAUGAAAGUCCUGAUGGCGUUUCUUCCAGUAUAAGGCUGUUUUGUCUAUGUUGAGAAUCUGUUGUUUAGUGUAGCCCCUUCACUAAUUAUGUUAGCUAGAUCUUCUGGCUAACUUGUGCAGCUUCUACGUGAGCACUUGCUGCUUCACCUUGCACUUUUACGUUAUGGAGACAGCUUCUUUCCUUGAACCUCAUGGACUGACCACUACUAGCUUUGGACUUUUCUUCUGUAGCUUCCUCGUCCCUCUUGUUCUUCACAGAAUUGAAGAGAGUUAGGGCCUGCUCUGGGUUAGGUUUUGGCUUAAAGGGAUGUUGUGGCUGAUUUGAUGUUUUAUCCAGACCACUAAAACUUUCUCCAUAUCAGCAGUAAGGCUGGUUCACUUUCUUCUAUUUGUGUGUUCACUGGAGUAGCACUUUCAAUUACCUUCAAGAACUUUUCCUUUGCAUACAGCUUGGUUAACUGUUUGGUGCAAAAGGCCUAGUUUAAAGCUUGUUUUGGCAUUUGACAUGCCUUCCUCACUAAGCUGAAACCUUUCUAACUUUUGAUUUGAAGCAAGAGAUGUGUGACUCUUCCUUUCACGUGAACACUUAGAGGCCAUUGUAGGGUUAUUAAUUGCCUUAAUGUCAAUAGUGCUGUGUCUCAGGGAAUAGGCCCAAGGAGAGGGAGAGAGAUGGGGGACUAGCUGGUUGCUGGACCAGUGAGAACACACACAAGAUUUAUUAAGUUCACCAUCUUAUGUGGGCACAGUUCAAAACAAUUACUGUAGUAACAUCCAAGAUCGCUGAUCACAGACCACCAUAGCAAAUGUAAUAAUAAUGAAAAUGUUUGAAAUACUGCGAGAAUUACCAAAACGUGACACAGAGGCACAAAGUGAACAAACGCUGUUGGAAAAUGGUGCCAAAAAACUUGCUUGACACAGGGUUGCCACCAACCUUCAAUUUGUAAAAAAUGCAGUAUCUGUGAAGCACAAUAAAGUGAGGCACAAUAAAAUGAUGUAUGCCCGGUGAAUGAAGAAGCUAUUUCUUAAGUGGAGAAUUCACAGAGAAAGGAAAACAAUGUGUAGAUCCUAAUUAGUGAUAUUAUUUGGUGUUAGUUUUUGUUUUAGUUGAAGAGUCCCAAUGGAAGAUGAAAAAGAAGAAUAAUAUGCUGUUGUGAUGGGCAAUGGGUGGCAGUGCAGGAGUGGGCUGGUUUUCUGGGGAUACUCACGAUUUAUUCCCGAGUGUAUUGAUGCCAUUUGGUAUUGGAGGUCAUUUUCGUUUUUGUUUUUGUUUUGUGAGGAAGAUUUGCCCUGAGCUAACGUCUGUGCCACUCGUCCUCUAUUUUGUAUAUGGGAUAUCUCCACAGCAUGGCUGACGAGUGGAGUAGGCCUGUGCCCGGCAUACAAACUUGUGAACCCAGGCUGCUGAAACAGAAUACCUGGAACUUUUAACCACUCAGCCACGGGGCUGGCCCCAAUGGCGGUUUUGACUUCUUAGAUGAAAGUACACAAUGCUAAGUGGGAAGAUUUCUGAAUGCUCUUGAUUUUACUUAUAAUAAUUGCUACUAACCAUCAGGAAAGACCACAUUUAUUUCUAGGGGGCAGCUAAUAACAAUGUAGCACAAUGCUCUAAUGUCACUACCUAUUAAAAAACAAACGGGCAGUAAAUCAGACUUAGCUCAGGGUGAAAUUACAUAUGCUUCUAAUGUUUUUUGUUCUAAAGGGUUGUGAUUUUUGCUAGUAUUUAUGCUUUGGCGCAAGUAUUAAUGUUAGGCUUUAUAAACAGUGUGUAUAGUUGUGUGCAUGUGUGAAGUUAGCCUUGAUUGCUGUAAAGUAUGUAAAUGCAUUUCAGUAAAUGAUCCAGUUGAGAUUCUUUUUUUUCUUGAUUCUACUUUUUAUCUUGCUGAACAUCUACAAUGAAGACAAAAGAAAUAGAAGUGAUCUCCGUUGUUAAUAGCCCUCUGUGUGAAAUGUUCAUACUGAACAUUUUCCGUGUGGUACUUUACACUCAAAAGGCAUGUUGCAUUCCAUUUAUGUGGUAAGAACUUGAUUUGACCAUUGAAUUGGAAACGCAAAAAAGGGUUGUUACUGAAGCUUUCACUUUUAGUUGCUAUUAGCAAAGGUUGGAAUUUCUUCUCUGUGACCUUAGGAGAAGUAGUAUGAGGUCAUCAGCUCAGAGGGAGAUUCAAGGGCACACUGCUACUAAUGAGGCCUGGAACCUCACUGGUGGCUUGUGGGUGCCCCUAGUAAGGUGGUAAGUGUUGGGGCCAGGUGUUCUCAUGUUCCUCAGCAGCCACAUACAUUGAAUUUUAUCACGUGAUGACUUACAGACCUCUGCACCAAUGUAUUUUUCUGUGUGUGUUCCUCCAUACGUCAGCCAGGUUCUUGAACAGAGGGCUUUAUACUAAGGCCUCUCUGUUUUCUGUGGAAUCUAUAUCUCUUCUCCCAAAACAACUUAAUAGUCAUAAGUUUGUCCUUAUAAAACAUUUGUCAGACAUGUAGGGUGGUGUGUGUGAGAGUGUGAAGAAUGAGAGAAAAUGAGCCUCCAAAGCAAGCCUCAUUUAGCUGCUGGAGCUGAGAGUGAAACCAGGGUUCAGUAGGAAAAUUCCGUAUGAAGGUGUACCUUCCAGAACUCCAGUCUGGGAACGUACGCCAGCUGUUACUGUGAAGACUGCUAUUUGCACUGCCUUUUUUAUAUUUAACAUUUUUUGAGUUACGUUAUUACCUUGAGUCUUUUUGUUCUAUGAGGUAGGCUCCGUUCCACGUAACAGAAACAUUAAAAUAAAUGCCCAUAAUAUACUGGACAGCGUUACAUUGUUGGAGGCAAUAAUAGGAGGAGGUGAGAGCAUGAAGUAGAGCAGGCAGACUCCUCUGGGAAUACAGGUGAAGUUUUCAUGAAUAAAUUGGAAUAUAGCCAGUGAUCUUGCUUUAAUUUCCUUACUAUCUGAAAUGGGGGAUCUUCUUAGAAACCCAGUUUGCAGAGUGUAAUAUGCUGCCGUUUCAAAUAAGAAAAGAAGGUAAUACAACACAGAAAGUGUGUCUUGGGUACCCUCCCCUCUCAAGCAUACAGAAGUGAAGGGGAGUCUUCUGAAGAAUAAGAAGUAUACCAUCAUUAGAGGAUGGAGGGGCUGACCUGGUGGCGUAGUGGUUAAGUUUGCAUGCUCUGCUUUCGCGGCCUGGGGUUUGUGGGUUCAGAUGCUGGGUGCAGACCUACACACCACUCAUCAGGCCAUGCUGUGGUGGUGUCCCACAUGCAAAAAAUGCACAGCUGUUAGCUAGGGACAGUCUUCCUCAAGCAAAAAAAGAGGAAGAUUGGCAACAGAUGUUAGCCCAGGGCUGAUUUUCCUCACCAAAAAAGAAGAAAGAAAGAGGAUGGAAUUAUUCCGUAUCAUGCAUCUCAUACAUUUUUAAGGAAUAAGAGUUUUGCAAACUCAUAGACUUUUUGUAGAAAUUCCACAAUAAUCUCUACUCUAAUAAUCUCUAAUCUCUAAUUGAAAUUGUCGAUUUCUUAAAUAUCUUCAUGCUUGCCGUGUGGGCUAAAGGAGUAGUUGCUUUCCAGCUAAAAGAAAACCUCCUCCUGAACUGUCAAUAUUUCCUCAGAAACAGAGACUAUACUCUGACACUACCAAAUAAACUGAGUUGUUAGAGUGUUGGUAGAGAGAUUGCCGAAAAGAGGAGGAUAGCUGGUUAAGGAUAGCCAGCAUUAAGGUGCCUGUUGAUACACUCUCACUCGGUACUGAAUACCAAGGGAGAGUAAACCAGAGUCCUAAGAUGCUUGCCAAGCCUCAUUUGUGGUAGUUUGUUCAGUUUAGCUGAAUAAGGCGUCUACCCUUACUAUCUGGAGAGGAUGCAAAGGGAGUUAAGGUCACUCAGGAACCGAGAUUCUGAGAGGGGAAUUAAGAACUAUAUCCGAGAAGAUACUGGGCAAGACAGAAUGUAGUAAGUCCUAGUCUAAAGGAGGGACCAGAAAUGGCUUUGGAGAUGGCCCUUGAUUCAAGACAGAUUAGGCUUUAAACAGAAGAUGGGAAUAAAGGGUAAGAGCAAGAGGCAUUUUGAGAGCUUUCCAACAUGAAGAAUGACAAGGGCAGAGGUCAGUGACACAUGGCAGGGGCGGGGGGCGGGGACCAGAGUGUGUUCAUGGUCCAGUUGGGUUGAAGCUGAGAAGAGAGUGAUGAGUGAAGAGAUAAAAGUGAUGGCUAGCAAAGCAGAUUGGCUGAAGCGUUUAGGGUAGGGCUUUAAUGUCUUGCUGAGGCAUUUAUAGAAAUCAAAAGUGGUGUAUGGUUAGAAAAAUGAUUUUGCUGCAUUACCUAGCCUGGACUGGAGAGCCUGGAAGCCAGAAGGCAGUUCUUUCAGUGAUUCAGUAGAAAGUGGUGAGCACUCAAUUCAGUGGGGGCUGUUGGAGAGAAGGGCAGUGGAAGAGAAUGAUGCCAAAUUGCGAUCUUACUUGUUCUACUAGGAUGUGGUGACUAAUGACAAAUGUGGGAGCCUGCUCAGCCUCUUCUUUAAACUUGCCCUCACUACUAAUCUGCGGAGAUAAAUAGGGAAAUACAGUAACAGUUGAACUCUGCAGUUCGCUUAAUACAAAUUGGUGUCCUAGUUGAGAGGAUGAAUUGUUGCAGCUCUGAAUUGAUGUCUUCUUCAAAAGGUAUUGAAAUUUCAGAACUUAAAAGCACACAAACUCAGAUUGCAGAAUUGGACCGUUUUGUCUGAAUUUUGGAGUUGCUAGAACUUCCUAUUGCAUUGGUGAUUUUUAAAGAAACCCUCAAUAUCCCUAAUCUUUAUGCUAAAUGUUUAGAUAUGAUAUGUUUAUAUAGCAUGAGGCAGGAAUUUCAUUAUUCGAAAUGAAACGAGCACCAUCAUUAGAAGUUUGUGGGUUAACCAGACAUUAGUCCUGAAGAAUGCUUGGUGGGAAGUAAAAGUCUGUUCAGCUGACCCCUUUGUGCCAGAGACUUAGUGCAGCUGGAGGUGGUUGCAGCUGGAGGUACUGAGGUAGCAGUUGCUGACACAGCAGGAUUUCUCUGUUACCGUUUAUCGCUGCAGCCUGAGAUGUGUACUGUUGAACAAAUAAUUGAGGAAGUUGUGUGGUUUAGGUCGUGUUGGAACUAGCAAAAGUCUCUGAAAUCUACUCUGCUAGCAUUGCCAUUAUCAGUAAUAACAGGGAGCUGUUUUACUGAGUUUCACACUAAACUUGAUACCAUCACAAUUACAAUUUGGAUGCACUUGAAUUGCCUUUGUUUCAGCUAUUGGUGUUAUGUGCUCCCUGGGAGAGGAUGAUGAAACAAAACAGGUGGCUGGAGAUAAUUAGAAUUUGAGGUCGACUCUCACUUUCUGCUUCUUCAUGAAAAUGAACAGGAAAAGAAUGGUUAAUCACUCAGAAUAAACUGCAUGUCAGCGGGCUCACCUGAAGCUGUUGCCCUUAGAACACACUCUUGCUCUAGUAGACUGUUUUUGGAUGUGUUUCCAGCUGUUAUCAGGGGAGCAGUCUCCAGUUUGGGUGGGAAUGGCUCAGCCUGAAUCAUUUGCCCUAUCCUUUGUAUUGGUUUUGUUUCUUCGAUUAAUGGUUUGAGUUUUAAGUGAAUUGGAGAGUGAAGCAACACCCUGUUAUCUUCUUGUCAUCUUUGUCUUAGCCUAAUGCUGUGCUGUCUAUAAGUACAGGGCAGAGCAAGCUUGUGCUUGUUUUUAAAUGGCCCUGUGGAGUGGAAAGCAACCUGUCAACAUGCAAAUGAGACUGAAUUAUAUGUUCUUGACACUUGCAAAAAUCUUCUAUUUGGAAUCUUUUAGCUUGAGAACUGACCAGAGUGUGGUCAGCCCCACAUUGGAAGCGACACUUCUUUAUGUCUGUGGCAUCAGUAUCUUUGUUAUGUGCCUGACCAGUCCAGACUUAGUAGUGUUGCUAUAGUACCAGGUUUCAUUAGUUUUCCAGUCAUGUUCUGCUAAUAGCCAGAUGGUAUAAGGAUAUGUUUUUCCUUUACUUAAUUUAUCCAGAUUUGAUUAUCCAUAUUUUACAGGGAUUUUAAUUCUGAAAAAUAAUUAGUGGAAGACUGAUUAAGUAGAGAUACGUGUCUGGGUGUUAUAUUUAAAUAUGUGCGCAGCAGAUAUGACCCAUCCAGGAUUGCUGGGGUAUUUGGAUUCUGAGAAGGAGUUAUUACUCUCCCAUGUACCCUCUGUGGCAUUUUUAGGAGUUCCUGUCUUACAACGUGUCAUAAAACUUAUAUUUGGAGAAGAUAAGAACUGGAAAUUUACCAAAUACUGGUGAUUUUGAAUGUUCAAAAGCCCUUUAUGGAUUUUGAAGGGUAAAAAUGAAAGUUGAGUUAUGCAUUUUUUUUUUUUGAUGAGGAAUAUUGGCC
rnacentral:lncRNA from 1 species